ACAUCAUUGGCCACAAAAGAUCUACUGGCAAAAGAUUUAAGUCGUGGAGAUUGACCCGCAGAUGUUGAUCCACUAUCAUUACUACCACUUUGUUUAUCACCCUGCAGACAGAGAAUGCAUGUGUUGUUUCGGACAUCCGCGAAAAGAGAAGAAUAGUAGGCAGGAUCAUAAAUAGAACCACCCAAUAUAUCAUCAGCCAUGGAAUUUCGUCUAACUGAACUUGAUCUUGGGCUCAAGAAACUAUUUCUUCCAUCAUAGUUUACUUCAUGAUAUGUUGGGGUGCUUGAUGAAACCCCCAGCCUAUACAUCUGGAUCCAUAUGAAGGAAGACAAAAACCUUACUGAAAACCCAAUAAUUUGCAUCCACAACGCUAGUUUGAGUGAUAAAACGAAAAGUUGACCAUACUUCUCUUCAGGAGUAAUAUUCCUGUAUAAAUAUAAUAUUAGAUUAAA
rnacentral:sRNA from 1 species